rnacentral:lncRNA from 1 species
GAGAAAGAGGUGUCUUUUCCGGCGGAACAACCACUAAAUAUCCAAGUUCUCUUAUUCAAAACAAGACGCUAAAUCAACCAGAAGCCACGAAAGGGCAUUAUUAGAAAAGCUCCAAUAAAGAUAGGACUUAGAUAAACUAUUUAUUUGCUGCCGGCGGGACGCCACGGCAAAGGUGGAUCGGAAGACAGCCACGUCUAGGAGGGGUUGGUGUCGAUAGAGUUCGCUUGGAUUGGAAUGCCCCAAGCAUGCGCCGCGGUUCGACAAAACCCUCAUUGGACAGCCCUCUAACAGUCUCCUCGGGCGCUGCCUCCACGAAACAAUAGUUGUUGAGCAGCAAAAGCCAAAUCACUGCAAGCCCUACAAACCUCCACUGCAUCUCCACUCGUGCCAUGUCUCUCAAGCACUCUCUGUAUC